GAUUCUCUUCCUUGAUGUACCUUAUUCUUCCGAUUUAUCUACACUGUUUACAAAUACUGCCUUCCUUUGUUCAUCUACUGUAUAUUGCCUGGUAAAGUCAGAUCAUUGCAUCCAGGGAUGUUAUUUUCAUUCUCAGGACGCUGAAGAAGUCCUCUCCUCAGCUGCAACACACUGUGUAAGGAAACUAUAGGAAUGUCACAGGCAUAAUGACUGCAUUGUGUAUUUAUUCAUUAGUUUUAAUAAGAAGCAUUCACAGUCACAUAGAAAACAGAAAUAAUAGAGAGAAACAGUGACUGGGCAUCAGGGACAAGAACUGAGCUUAUUAUACACAAGUCCUUGGAGCAGAGAGAACCAUUGUGAGACUAUUUUUUUAGUUUUUCCACAAAACACAUUUCAUCACAAAACUGUGUCUCUAAAACUGAGACUCAGAGACACAUUCUGUCCCUCCAGUACAUUAAGAGUCAGUUGGUGGCUUAUAGUGCACAGUUAUGAAGGGCAGAUAUGUGAAAGGUUUGGGCCCUUUCAGAAAUUGGAGCAAAGGAUAUGUAUUGGAGCAUAUGUAUUCAAUAGUUAAUAUCACUGCUACAAAUGCAUGCUCCCACCAGCUCAGGUCAAUGAAUGUGCUACGCCUUGUUGUUCCUUCACAACAAGUCCAAAAAAAAAAAAAAAAAAGUCAAAAAUGUCACCCGCUGUUGCUCUCUGGUGGAAUAAGCUAACCUCCACCACCUGCUGAGACCAUCACCUCUUUCAAAAAGAAGAAAAUAUUCUCUGUAUUUCUACUGUUCUCUGUCUUGAUUCCUAAUCUAGUUGUCAAAAAAUUUUUCCCAAUUAAAAUAAAAUAAAACCCUGGCACUGUAUAAUUAUGAAUAUUGUUGAGGAGUUGCUGUGUUUCUCUUUUGAAAGUCGCUUCAGAUAAAACUGUCCACUAAAUGCAUAAGUGUAAAUGCAACUGUAAUAUUAUUCUAGUGUGGACACUGACACCAUUUUCUCCCACAUAAAUGAGGUUAGAGGACAAGGUUAGAUGAGCAGAGGACUUUCCCAUGGACCCUAUCACAACAGUCUUUCCUUUCAGAUUAAAAAUUAACGUCGUCUCAGGUUGGCCCUCAAUGCCACAUAUAUCUCUCCAUGGCUCUCACAUAGGGAAAUAAUGUGUGUGUGUAUGUAAACAGUUAAAAUAUCAGAGCAUGUGAUAUUUAAUGAUCAUUUUAGUUCUUAAAAUAAAUGCACAGGUGCGAUUUACCAUGGGUUAGAAAAUUCAAUUUAA